GAUGAAGAACGUAGCGAAAUGCGAUAAGUAAUGUGAAUUGCAGAAUUCAGUGAAUCAUCGAAUCUUUGAACGCACAUUGCGCCCGCCAGUAUUAUGGCGGGCAUGCCUGUCCGAGCGUCAUUUCAACCCUCGAACCCCUCCGGGGGGUCGGCGUUGGGGAUCGGCCCUUUCACCGGGUGCCGGCCCCUAAAUACAGUGGCGGUCUCGCCGCAGCCUCUCAUGCGCAGUAGUUUGCACACUCGCACCGGGAGCGCGGCGCGUCCUCGUCCGUAAAACACCCCAAACUUCUGAAAUGUUGACCUCGGAUCAGGUAGGAAUACCCGCUGAACUUAAGCAUAUCAAUAAGCGGAGGA
rnacentral:misc_RNA from 1 species